UACGAACUGUGCGAACGUUAUUCGGAAUCACUGGGCUUACAGGGUGCGUAGGCGGCUUGUCAAGUCGGGUGUGAAAGCCCCCGGCUCAACCGGGGAAUGGCGCCCUAAACUGGCGAGCUAGAGUGAGAUAGGGGUGUGUGGAACUUCCGGUGGAGCGGUGAAAUGUGUUGAUAUCGGAAGGAACGCCGGUGGCGAAAGCGACACACUGGAUCUGGUCUGACGUUGAGGCACGAAAGCCAGGGGAGCGAACGGG
rnacentral:rRNA from 1 species